GAUGAACGCUGGCGGCGUGCUUAACACAUGCAAGUCGAACGAUGAAGCCCAGCUUGCUGGGUGGAGUAGUGGCGAACGGGUGAGUAACACGUGAGUAACCUGCCCUUAACUCUGGGAUAAGCCUGGGAAACUGGGUCUAAUACCGGAUAGGAGCGCCUACCGCAUGGUGGGUGUUGGAAAGAUUUAUCGGUUUUGGAUGGACUCGCGGCCUAUCAGCUUGUUGGUGAGGUAAUGGCUCACCAAGGCGACGACGGGUAGCCGGCCUGAGAGGGUGACCGGCCCCACUGGGACUGAGACACGGCCCAGACUCCUACGGGAGGCAGCAGUGGAGAAUAUUGCACAAUGGGCGAAAGCCUGAUGCAGCGACGCCGCGUGAGGGAUGACGGCCUUCGGGUUGUAAACCUCUUUCAGUAGGGAAGAAGCGAAAGUGACGGUACCUGCAGAAGAAGCACCGGCUAACUACGUG
rnacentral:rRNA from 1 species